AGCGAACGCUGGCGGCAGGCCUAACACAUGCAAGUCGAACGAACCUUUCGGGGUUAGUGGCGGACGGGUGAGUAACACGUGGGAACGUGCCUUUAGGUUCGGAAUAACUCAGGGAAACUUGUGCUAAUACCGAAUGUGCCCUUCGGGGGGAAGAUUAAUCGCCUUUAGAGCGGCCCGCGUCUGAUUAGCUAGUUGGUUGAGGUAAUGGCUCACCAAGGCGACGAUCAGUAGCUGGUCUGAGAGGAUGAUCAGCCACAUUGGGACUGAGACACGGCCCAAACUCCUACGGGAAGCAGCAGUGGGGAAUCUUGCGCAAUGGGCGAAAGCCUGACGCAGCCAUGCCGCGUGAAUGAUGAAGGUCUUAGGAUUGUAAAAUUCUUUCACCGGGGACGAUAAUGACGGUACCCGGAGAAGAAGCCCCGGCUAACUUCGUG
rnacentral:rRNA from 1 species